rnacentral:rRNA from 1 species
UGAGGAAUAUUGGUCAAUGGACGGAAGUCUGAACCAGCCAUGUCGCGUGCAGGAAGACGGCCUUAUGGGUUGUAAACUGCUUUUCUAUAGGGAGAAACCCUCUUUCGUGAAGGAGGCUGACGGUACUAUAGGAAUAAACACCGGCUAACUCCGUGCCAGCAGCCGCGGUAAUACGGAGGGUGUAAGCGUUAUCCGGAAUCAUUGGGUUUAAAGGGUCCGUAGGCGGACUAUUAAGUCAGGGGUGAAAUCCCACGGCUCAACCGUGGAACUGCCCUUGAUACUGGUAGUCUUGAGUUAUUGUGAAGUAGAUGGAAUGUGUAGUGUAGCGGUGAAAUGCAUAGAUAUUACACAGAACACCGAUUGCGAAGGCAGUCUACUAAUAAUACACUGACGCUGAGGG